rnacentral:rRNA from 1 species
ACGGUACCGGAAGAAUAAGCACCGGCUAACUACGUGCCAGCAGCCGCGGUAAUACGUAGGGUGCGAGCGUUAAUCGGAAUUACUGGGCGUAAAGCGUGCGCAGGCGGUUUCGUUAAGACAGAUGUGAAAUCCCCGGGCUUAACCUGGGAACUGCAUUUGUGACUGGCGAGGCUAGAGUAUGGCAGAGGGGGGUAGAAUUCCACGUGUAGCAGUGAAAUGGCGUAGAGAUGUGGAGGAAUACCGAUGGCGAAGGCAGCCCCCUGGGCCAAUACUGACGCUCAUGCACGAAAGCGUGGGGAGCAAACAGGAUUAGAUAACCCUGGUAGUCCACGCCCUAAACGAUGUCAAACUAGUUGUUGGGUCUUCAUUGACUUAGUAAACGUAGCUAAACGGCGUGAAGUUGACCGCCUGGGGAGUACGGUCGGCAAGAUUAAAACUCU